rnacentral:rRNA from 1 species
UGAGAGUUUGAUCCUGGCUCAGGACGAACGCUGGCGGCGUGCCUAAUACAUGCAAGUCGAACGCUUCUUUUUCCACCGGAGCUUGCUCCACCGGAAAAAGAGGAGUGGCGAACGGGUGAGUAACACGUGGGUAACCUGCCCAUCAGAAGGGGAUAACACUUGGAAACAGGUGCUAAUACCGUAUAACAAUCGAAACCGCAUGGUUUUGAUUUGAAAGGCGCUUUCGGGUGUCGCUGAUGGAUGGACCCGCGGUGCAUUAGCUAGUUGGUGAGGUAACGGCUCACCAAGGCGACGAUGCAUAGCCGACCUGAGAGGGUGAUCGGCCACAUUGGGACUGAGACACGGCCCAAACUCCUACGGGAGGCAGCAGUAGGGAAUCUUCGGCAAUGGACGAAAGUCUGACCGAGCAACGCCGCGUGAGUGAAGAAGGUUUUCGGAUCGUAAAACUCUGUUGUUAGAGAAGAACAAGGAUGAGAGUAACUGUUCAUCCCUUGACGGUAUCUAACCAGAAAGCCACGGCUAACUACGUGCCAGCAGCCGCGGUAAUACGUAGGUGGCAAGCGUUGUCCGGAUUUAUUGGGCGUAAAGCGAGCGCAGGCGGUUUCUUAAGUCUGAUGUGAAAGCCCCCGGCUCAACCGGGGAGGGUCAUUGGAAACUGGGAGACUUGAGUGCAGAAGAGGAGAGUGGAAUUCCAUGUGUAGCGGGUGAAAUGCGUAGAUAUAUGGAGGAACACCAGUGGCGAAGGCGGCUCUCUGGUCUGUAACUGACGCUGAGGCUCGAAAGCGUGGGGAGCAAAACAGGAUUAGAUACCCUGGUAGUCCACGCCGUAAACGAUGAGUGCUAAGUGUUGGAGGGUUUCCGCCCUUCAGUGCUGCAGCUAACGCAUUAAGCACUCCGCCUGGGGAGUACGACCGCAAGGUUGAAACUCAAAGGAAUUGACGGGGGCCCGCACAAGCGGUGGAGCAUGUGGUUUAAUUCGAAGCAACGCGAAGAACCUUACCAGGUCUUGACAUCCUUUGACCACUCUAGAGAUAGAGCUUCCCCUUCGGGGGCAAAGUGACAGGUGGUGCAUGGUUGUCGUCAGCUCGUGUCGUGAGAUGUUGGGUUAAGUCCCGCAACGAGCGCAACCCUUAUUGUUAGUUGCCAUCAUUUAGUUGGGCACUCUAGCAAGACUGCCGGUGACAAACCGGAGGAAGGUGGGGAUGACGUCAAAUCAUCAUGCCCCUUAUGACCUGGGCUACACACGUGCUACAAUGGGAAGUACAACGAGUCGCAAAGUCGCGAGGCUAAGCUAAUCUCUUAAAGCUUCUCUCAGUUCGGAUUGUAGGCUGCAACUCGCCUACAUGAAGCCGGAAUCGCUAGUAAUCGCGGAUCAGCACGCCGCGGUGAAUACGUUCCCGGGCCUUGUACACACCGCCCGUCACACCACGAGAGUUUGUAACACCCGAAGUCGGUGAGGUAACCUUUUGGAGCCAGCCGCCUAAGGUGGGAUAGAUGAUUGGGGUGAAGUCGUAACAAGGUAGCCGUAUCGGAAGGUGCGGCUGGAUCACCUCCUUUCUAAGGAA